AUUUUAGUUUCUGUAAUUAGAUUAACAUAAAAAAAUACUAAUCGCAUAAGAUUUAAUUAAUAUAAAAAAUAACUAAACUUUAAAAAUCUUCUACUUUAUUUGGUCACCUUGCUUUCUUUGCAUUAUAUUUCCAUAAUAUAUCUUAAGAGCAUCACCUAUUAAUCAGAUAAGGUGGAGACUUGAUCACCCUUCCUUAGCCCAC
rnacentral:lncRNA from 1 species